rnacentral:rRNA from 1 species
UACGAAGGUCCCAAGCGUUAUCCGGAUUUAUUGGGUUUAAAGGGUGCGUAGGCGGGCUAUUAAGUCAGUGGUGAAAGCCUCAAGCUUAACUUGGGAACUGCCAUUGAUACUGAUGGUCUUGAGUACAUUUGAGGUGGGCGGAAUGUGUCAUGUAGCGGUGAAAUGCUUAGAUAUGACACAGAACACCGAUUGCGAAGGCAGCUCACUAAACUGUAACUGACGCUGAGGCACGAAAGCGUGGGGAGCAAACAGG